rnacentral:tRNA from 1 species
AGUUGUGUGGCCGAGUGGUCUAUGGCGCCGGACUUGAGAUCCGUUCCUUGAAAGGGUGUCGUGGAUUCGAAUCCCACCCUAACCA